rnacentral:lncRNA from 1 species
AAGAAAGAAGCGGGUUGGGGGAGAAAAAAAGCAAGCGCGCGCUCCCUCAGUACGAACGCGCCGCCUCCAGAAUUCCCGCCCGCCAGACGUAAACACCGUGGCGCGGGUGAUGUAACUAAACAACGCAUGCGUACGCUGCACGAGCCCUCCCUUAAAGAAGUUCGCUAUUAAGGGCUUCCGGCAUUUGGAACCACGCCUUUUUUUUACGGUGGCCGCCUUGGGACAAAAAGAAAAGAAAAGGAGACUGCGUUGCGCGCGCAGAGCAGGCGAAGAAGAAUAACAAUAGCGUCCUGCGCGCAAUAUGCAGAGGAGCGGUUUGCAGCGAGGCGUCGCGUUUCUCCAACGAUGCUGCAAAAUGUGUUUGGCUUCUCAGACAGCAACAUGUCUUGCUCUGCUUUGAAGCUAUUCGCCACAUGAUCUGUACAUCAGAAAUUCAUGAUAAGGAGAUCAUGAAGUAGAAAAUUUACCUCUGAACUUCAUCAGCUGCAGUCUCACCAUGAACACCGAGGCCGUCAUUACAGGGGAGUUUUCAGAUGUGAUUGAAAAUAGGGUGGUUAUUAGUAUAAAUAUUGAAUAGCUUUGAUAUAAAUUAUUUAGAAAAAAAUGUUAAAAUAUUAAAGAAAGCUCACUGCUUAAACAAAAUGUUUUAGAUUUGGUGAGAGAAUGAUUGAGCUUCUUAGUGAAUGUUUCCUUGAUUGAUCUUUUUAAAACCAAGUGAAGGUCAAUGUGUGUGAGAUUACAGAUCAAUUUUCUUUUAAAAAAAGAUCAUGUGUCGCUUGGAGUAUAAAAGAAGAAGUAGAUCAAUGGAUAUUUUCCACAGUAUGGUUUUUGGCAUAAUCUCCACAGAUGCCUAGAUAAGAUGUUUUAAAACAUAUAUAUUGUGUGUGUUUGGAUCAGAAUGUGUCAUUUAUGACUGAUGCUAGAAAAUUAAAAAAAAUGAUUUAUAGCACUCAUCAUCAUAGGCAUCCUUCAGUCUCGAGAGACUAUGGUAACAUGCUCUGAAUCGAGGAGUGUCCUCUCCAGAGCA